rnacentral:rRNA from 1 species
UACGUAGGGUGCAAGCGUUGUCCGGAUUUAUUGGGCGUAAAGCGCGCGCAGGCGGUCGUGCAAGUUUGGGGUGACAGCUUCCGGCUUAACUGGAAGAGUGCCUCGAAAACUGCAGGACUUGAGGAUCAGAGAGGGACAUGGAAUUCCGGGUGUAGUGGUGAAAUGCGUAGAUAUCCGGAGGAACACCAAAGGCGAAGGCAAUGUCCUGGCUGACUCCUGACGCUCAGGUGCGAAAGCUAGGGGAG